AGGCCCCACGCCGGUCCGGGCUCGCCCGGCGCCGGAGGCUCGGGAGCCGGCGCGCCGGCCUGACGACCCCGUCAGGCGCUGGGGUCCGCGGGCGCCGUGCGCCGUCCUGCCUAGGCACGAAGUCAAAAUAGAAACGGUUCGUGAAGUGGGAAACGAUACAUAAACGAUAACCUCUUACCCGCUUCAUUGUAAAGCGGGUAACGAUAGAGAGUCACUAGCUAAAUGGCUGGUGGUUUGAUGAACGCCACUCCUGGGUGAUGUUUUCUAACAAUAGAGAGCUUUAAGGAUUACACUCAAUUGUGGCUGGUGGUUGAGUCAUUAGAGCUGUUUAUCAACAGCUGGGACCCCAACCCAUUGAUAUGUCAACAAUUUGGGGUUGGGGCUUGGGGAUAGGUUUGUACUACCGUUUACAUGGAUAAGGAUUUUUUCUUUCAGUUUGCCACGCUACCCUUACCAACAUUAGUCGACUUUUCUUAUUUCACUUUUUAGAUCGAUUUUAAAGUCCUGUGAUUGUUGCAUCUGUAAUGUUCUCCAUUUAGUUUAUUGUCUAUUCCAAUUAUUGACAAAUCUGUGAUGUGGAAAUCACUGCCUGACUGUGCUAGAUUUUGGGAAAGAAAACUACAGAUCUUCAUUCAGUGACACGAGACUUAGUGAUGCACAUAGUCCUGUUGACUCUGAUGGAUUUAGUCUUUUGUUAAGAGAUUAAUUGCUUCCCCUUCUGAAUAAACUGUGCUAAGCCUGUGGAUGAACUGGCCCAAUUUACACAACAAAGCCGAUGCACAAUAACCAUUCGUGGUAAGCUGGGAGUCCGGGCCUUUGUACCAAGGUGGGGGAAAUAGUGGUAUGCAUCAAAGAGGUUGCUGCACAGCCAACUCCUUUUUGGGAAACGCUCUCUUGCAAUCAUUGCCCACUUGCAGUUGAAACGGGCAAUGGUUUUGAAAGGGGAUUAAGGGCAAUCAUUUCCCGCUUGGUGAACUGUUUCUAUUUUGACUUGGCGCCUUAAGGGGCAGGAUUCCUGGAAUCAGCUGGUCCGGAGCUAGGGGCUGCGGCCCUGUAGAGCGCCGCGUCCCCGGCGGCGUCCUGCCAGCUCCGGCCGGCCCUUGAAAAUGCAGGGGAGUGCAUGGACCGUCGGCUCGGGUCAUACCCAUAACUGCAGCCGGUCUCCGAGGUGAACAGCCUCUGGUCGAUAGAACAAUGUAGGUAAGGGAAGUCGGCAAGCCGGAUCCGUUACUUCGGGAGAAGGAUUGGCUCUGAGGGCCGGGGCUGGAAGCGGGUCGUGAAGAAAUUCAGCAAAGCACGGGUAAACGGCGGGAGUAAUUAUGACUCUCUUAAGGUGGCCAAAUGCCUCAUCAUCUAAUUAGUGACGCACAUGAAUGGAUUAAAGAGAUUCCCACUGUCCCUAUCUAUCUAUCAAAACCACAGCCAAGGGUAUGGGCUUGGCAGAAUCAGCAGGGAAAGAAGACCCUGUUGAGCUUGACUCUAGCCUGACCUUGUGAAGAGACACGGGGGUGUAGGUGGGAGAGCCCCGGCCCGACGGUGAAAUACCACUACUCUCGUCGUUUCUUUGCUUAGCUGUUGGGGCAGGGAGCGGGCCCCGUGCGGGCAUAGUCUUCUGGCGCUACGCGGCCGGCCACCUCGCGGCGCCGCUGGCCGCUGGCCGCCGGCCGCCACCCGCUCCGGCGACAGCGUCAGGCAGGGAGUUUGACUGGGGCGGUACAUCUGUCAAAGGGUAACGCAGGUGUCCUAAGGCGAGCUCAGCGAGGACGGAAACCUCGCAUGGAGCAAAAGGCAAAAGCUCCUUUGAUUUUGAUUUUAAGUAUGAAUACGGACCGUCAACGCGUGGCCUGUCGAUCCUUUUGAGCUUCGAAAUUUGAAGCAAGAGGUGUCAGAAAAGUUACAACAGGGAUAACUAGCUUGUGGCAGCCAAUCCUUCAUAGCGACGUUGUUUUUUUGAUCCUUCGAUGUCGGCUCUUCCUAUCAUUGCGAAGCAAAAUUCGCCAAGUGUUUGUUCACCCACCACUAGGGAACGUGAGCUGGGUUUAGACCGUCGUGAGACAGGUUAGUUUUACCCUACCGAUGAGAGGUCGCCGCCACGGUAAUCCUGCUCAGUAUGAGAGUAACCGCAGAUUGGGACCCCUGGUUCAGGCGCUCGGUCGAGAGGCCGGUGGUGCGAGGCUACCACCCGAGAGUUUACGGCUGAAUGCCUCUAAGUCAAAAUCUCUGCCGGUGCGCCGUGAUGCCGCCGGCAUCCCACCCGAGGGCGGCUCGCAUCAGCGCCCACCCGCUCUUGCAUUGGGGGGCCAGGCUGACCCCGCCCACGGUCCAUGUCCGGGUGCCGGGAGCUCUGGCGGAAGCCGAACCGCCGUCUCGAGAGGGACGCCAGAUCACUUGCAGACGACUUGGGUAUGAAUCGGGGUGUCGUGCCCAGUAGAGCAGCCGCUUUGCUUUGAUCUGCUGAAACUAAACCUCUCGAUC
rnacentral:rRNA from 1 species